AAACGGCGAAGAAGAAGAAGAAGAAGAAGAAGAAGAAGAAGAAGAAGAAGAAGAAGAAGAAGAAGAAGAAGAAGGCAGGAAAAGGUAAACGUUAACAAGGAGGAAAAGGAAGCGUGGAUAACUUGACCAAGCUGAAAAAAUGAAUAACCUUGACCCAGAAGAUGCCAUAUUCCUGGCUGAUGCGUUCCUGGACGAGUGCAAGGUGGAUCAGCAUGGACACACUGAAGGAGGGUCAAAGCAAUCCACAAAGCUGUGCGUUUGGCUUGAUGAGGACAAUGGUCAACCUCUGCCAAAAAGAUAGAGCUGGGGAGAGACGAAAGCGAAAUUCGGCUAACGUUACUGUUUCUUCAGCAAGCGUUCCCUCCUGUGCUCCAUCUACCAGCACAACUGAGACACUACAAGACACUGUGACCAU